GCUGCAUUUCUCAGCUCGCUCUUUACACACCACAAAGUGUCUUUGCUGCAAAUUAUUCAUUACAAGUCAUUCACAAUGUUGGGUGCUUUAAAAGUCAUCCUGUUAUUGGCUUAUCUGACAUAUGCAGGCUGUGCUGAUGUUAUAACCCAGUCCAGUCCUGAAGUCAGAAAGCCAGGAGAAUCUCUCAAGCUGUCUUGUAAAAUCUCUGGAUACUCUUUGACUGACAGCAGUAGCUGGUACGCCACAGCCUGGAUUCGUCAGCCUGUCGGGAAAGCACUGGAAUGGCUGAGUAAAAUCGACUAUGAUGCAGAGGCAUUUUAUGCACAGUCAGUCCAGGGCCGGUUCACAGUCAGCAAGUCUGAUUCCAGCAGCACUGUGUUCUUAGAGAUGAACAGGCUGAAGACUGAAGACACUGCCGUGUAUUACUGUCUGCGCUUACGCAUUGAAGUGAAAACUAAAGACUUCAUUUCCCGGCAUCGCUACCGAUUUUCACAGCUGCGCUUGCGCAUUGAAGUGAAAACUAAAGACUGA